GAUGAUUGAGCCCAUGUAUCAAUUCGGCCCAACACAUGUUGGCACGAUAUGACAGCGUCCCCAGCUGAUUCGGCCUAACAGAUAGCAGGCCGGUUCGCACGCCUCAAGUGACAUAAAAGCAAGAAUUUGUUGCCUCAAACGAUAGCUUGCUUAUCUUGGCCAGAUGAUUGAUUGGGGGCCUGGGGCAUUGGGCUAUGCAAGAGCUAGGACUUAGCAGGAGGAUUGGACACAGUUUUUAAAAAAAGGAGGAUUGGACACAGGUUGGCGUGGGGAUGACGAUACAAAGACUUUCGUUUAAAUAAGAUAGUAGCAAUACUAAAAAUUUAAAAUACUUCUAAUAACUCUUCUUAAUCGGAAAGAUUACCGAGUAUGAUUAAUUAUGCAUGCAUGCUUGCAGUAAUUGUCGGACAUAUUAUUCUUUCUUAUUUAACGAGUCUUGCUCGAACAGUGAUGGUAGAAGUAAAUGAUCGAUUUAUUAACUGAGCUAGAAGGUAGUAUUUGUUGGAUGGUCUAAAAGUUAUAUGAACAAAUUUUGAAAGCUAAAUGAACGUCCACAGCACCGUACAUCAUGCGGAACAAAUCGCGCCGGGACGGCAGAAUUCAAGGGCCGCCCAAAUUAAAGCUGUCAUCGUUACUUCAUUAUCCCACUAAGCAAGUCGUCAGGCCCAUUAGAAAACUGAGACGCCAAUGUUGAGGCACACACUCGUGGAGAC
rnacentral:lncRNA from 1 species